rnacentral:rRNA from 1 species
CGCGGCCUAUCAGCUUGUUGGUGGGGUAACGGCCUACCAAGGCGACGACGGGUAGCCGGCCUGAGAGGGCGACCGGCCACACUGGGACUGAGACACGGCCCAGACUCCUACGGGAGGCAGCAGUGGGGAAUAUUGCGCAAUGGGCGAAAGCCUGACGCAGCGACGCCGCGUGGGGGAUGAAGGCCUUCGGGUUGUAAACCCCUUUCAGCAGGGACGAAGCGAAAGUGACGGUACCUGCAGAAGAAGCGCCGGCUAACUACGUGCCAGCAGCCGCGGUAACACGUAGGGCGCAAGCGUUGUCCGGAAUUAUUGGGCGUAAAGAGCUCGUAGGCGGUCUGUUGCGUCCGCUGUGAAAACUCGGGGCUUAACCCCGAGCCUGCAGUGGAUACGGGCAGACUAGAGGUAGGUAGGGGAGAAUGGAAUUCCCGGUGUAGCGGUGAAAUGCGCAGAUAUCGGGAGGAACACCGGUGGCGAAGGCGGUUCUCUGGGCCUUACCUGACGCUGAGGAGCGAAAGCGUGGGGAGCGAACAGGAUUAGAUACCCUGGUAGUCCACGCCGUAAACGU